rnacentral:rRNA from 1 species
CGGCGAGUGAAGCGGCAACAGCUCAAAUUUGAAAGCUAGCCUUCGGGUUCGCAUUGUAAUUUGUAGAGGAUGAUUUGGGGAAGCCGCCUGUCUAAGUUCCUUGGAACAGGACGUCAUAGAGGGUGAGAAUCCCGUAUGUGACAGGAAAUGGCACCCUAUGUAAAUCUCCUUCGACGAGUCGAGUUGUUUGGGAAUGCAGCUCUAAAUGGGAGGUAAAUUUCUUCUAAAGCUAAAUAUUGGCGAGAGACCGAUAGCGCACAAGUAGAGUGAUCGAAAGAUGAAAAGCACUUUGGAAAGAGAGUUAAAAAGCACGUGAAAUUGUUGAAAGGGAAGCGCUNGCAAUCAGACUUGUUUAAACUGUUCGGCCGGUCUUCUGACCGGUUUACUCAGUUUGGACAGGCCAGCAUCAGUUUCGGCGGCCGGAUAAAGGCUCUGGGAAUGUGGCCUCCACUUCGGUGGAGGUGUUAUAGCCCAGGGUGUAAUACGGCCAGCCGGGACUGA